CAGGGGUUGAGAAAAUCUGAAGGAUCGCUGCAAUAAAUGUGUGAAUCUGAGAGGCGAAUAUGUCGAAUAAAAUCCAAAUAA